CCUACGGGAGGCAGCAGUGGGGAAUAUUGGACAAUGGGCGCAAGCCUGAUCCAGCAAUGCCGCGUGAGUGAUGAAGGCCUUAGGGUCGUAAAGCUCUUUUACCAGGGAUGAUAAUGACAGUACCUGGAGAAUAAGCUCCGGCUAACUCCGUGCCAGCAGCCGCGGUAAUACGGAGGGAGCUAGCGUUGUUCGGAAUUACUGGGCGUAAAGCGUACGUAGGCGGUUAUUCAAGUCAGAGGUGAAAGCCCGGGGCUCAACCCCGGAACGGCCUUUGAAACUAGGUAGCUAGAAUCUUGGAGAGGUCAGUGGAAUUCCGAGUGUAGAGGUGAAAUUCGUAGAUAUUCGGAAGAACACCAGUGGCGAAGGCGACUGACUGGACAAGUAUUGACGCUGAGGUACGAAAGCGUGGGGAGCAAACAGGAUUAGAUACCCUGGUAGUCCACGCCGUAAACGAUGAUAACUAGCUGUUCGGGCACUUGGUGCUUGAGUGGCGCAGCUACGCAUUAAGUUAUCCGUCCGUCGGGUAGGUACGGUCGCGAGAUUAAACUACAAAUAGUAAUUAGUACGGCGUGAGACGUAGCCGAACGGACGACGACGAGGGAGUAGG
rnacentral:rRNA from 1 species